GACGAACGCUGGCGGCGUGCUUAACACAUGCAAGUCGAACGGAAAGGCCCUGCUUUUGUGGGGUGCUCGAGCGGCGAACGGGUGAGUAACACGUGAGUAACCUGCCCUUGACUUUGGGAUAACUUCAGGAAACUGGGGCUAAUACCGGAUAGGAGCUCCUGCUGCAUGGUGGGGGUUGGAAAGUUUCGGCGGUUGGGGAUGGACUCGCGGCUUAUCAGCUUGUUGGUGGGGUAGUGGCUUACCAAGGCUUUGACGGGUAGCCGGCCUGAGAGGGUGACCGGCCACAUUGGGACUGAGAUACGGCCCAGACUCCUACGGGAGGCAGUAGUGGGGAAUAUUGCACAAUGGGCGGAAGCCUGAUGCAGCAACGCCGCGUGCGGGAUGACGGCCUUCGGGUUGUAAACCGCUUUCGCCUGUGACGAAGCGUGAGUGACGGUAAUGGGUAAAGAAGCACCGGCUAACUACGUG
rnacentral:rRNA from 1 species